rnacentral:lncRNA from 1 species
UAUUUUCCUCGAACACCUUCUGUGCAAACACGUUUUAGUACUGAUUUGUGGCAAAACAGAUUUUCAUUCAGGCAUUUCUACAAACACCUAUCACGCACAAAUUUUUCUUUAUACGUUUGAUCAUAAAAUCAAAUCAAUAUAACAUGAUCCAAAUAUCAAAUAAGAAAAUCAACAUGAUGCAAACAAACAAAACAACUAAUAAACUGCAUCAAGGCUUCUGUAGAAACAUAAAAAAAGCUUAGGGGUUGUUUUUGCACAAGCCUUUGGUUUCUAAGAUGGAAGAAUUUGGUGGGGUUUUCAAUGUACAAAGCUGAAGGUUUUUUUUUAUGGGUUUAGCCUAGCAUAUUUCACAGCUUAACAAUGAGAGAUUUGACACUUCUUUGAAGGAGAUGAAAGGUGAAGUUGAAGGUCAUGGUUUACAAGAACCUUGAAGGAGAUGGAUUUUUGCCGAAAAGAAGGACAAUAAGUUGGAGCAAAAGAAAGGAGCUGGAAAACUUAC